CGUCAACUUACCGUACUGGCGACCGGCCGGCACGGGUGGAGUAACAACGUAUCCAACCUACGCUCCAUACUCGGGGAUAGCCUUUCGAAAGAAAGAUUAAUACCCGAUGUUAUAGUCCUACCGCAUGAUGGGAUUAUUAAAGAAUUUCGGUAUGGGAUGGGGAUGCGUUCCAUUAGUUAGUUGGCGGGGUAACGGCCCACCAAGACAACGAUGGAUAGGGGUUCUGAGAGGAAGGUCCCCCACAUUGGAACUGAGACACGGUCCAAACUCCUACGGAAGGCAGCAG
rnacentral:rRNA from 1 species